rnacentral:rRNA from 1 species
AAUGAACGUUGGCGGCGUGGAUUAGGCAUGCAAGUCGAGCGCUCAUCAGCAAUGGUGGGAGCGGCGAACGGCGUAGUAAUGUGUAGGAACGUACCCUCUGGUCGGGGAUAGCUACGGGAAACUGUAGGUAAUACCCGAUGAUCUCUGUGGAGCAAAGGUGUGAUUCCGCCGGGGGAGCGGCUUACAUGAUAUUAGCUAGUUGGUGGGGUAAUGGCCUACCAAGGCUUAGAUGUCUAGGGGGUGUGAGAGCAUGGCCCCCCACGACCGGAACUGAGAUACUGUCCGGACACCUACGGGUGGCUGCAGUCGAGAAUCUUCCGCAAUGGACGAAAGUCUGACGGAGCGACGCCGCGUGCGGGAUGAAGGCCCUUGGGUGUAAACCGCUGUCAGAGGGGAUGAAAUCUCCGAGGGUUAUCCCUCGGAGUUGACAGAGCCUCAGAGGAAGCACGGGCUAAGUAUGUG